rnacentral:rRNA from 1 species
UAUAGAUACCCAGGUAGUCCACGCCGUAAACGAUGAGUGCUAAGUGUUAGAGGGUUUCCGCCCUUUAGUGCUGAAGUUAACGCAUUAAGCACUCCGCCUGGGGAAUACGGCCGCAAGGCUGAAACUCAAAGGAAUUGACGGGGGCCCGCACAAGCGGUGGAGCAUGUGGUUUAAUUCGAAGCAACGCGAAGAACCUUACCAGGUCUUGACAUCCUCUGACAACCCUAGAGAUAGGGCUUCUCCUUCGGGAGCAGAGUGACAGGUGGUGCAUGGUUGUCGUCAGCUCGUGUCGUGAGAUGUUGGGUUAAGUCCCGCAACGAGCGCAACCCUUGAUCUUAGUUGCCAUCAUUCAGUUGGGCACUCUAAGGUGACUGCCGGUGACAAACCGGAGGAAGGUGGGGAUGACGUCAAAUCAUCAUGCCCCUUAUGACCUGGGCUACACACGUGCUACAAUGGACGGUACAAAGAGCUGCAAGACCGCGAGGUGGAGCUAAUCUCAUAAAACCGUUCUCAGUUCGGAUUGU